UACAGAGGGUGCAAGCGUUAAUCGGAAUUACUGGGCGUAAAGCGCGCGUAGGCGGUUUGUUAAGUCGGAUGUGAAAUCCCCGGGCUCAACCUGGGCAUUGCAUCCGAUACUGGCUGACUAGAGUGUGGGAGAGGAAGGUAGAAUUCCAGGUGUAGCGGUGAAAUGCGUAGAGAUCUGGAGGAAUACCGAUGGCGAAGGCAGCCUUCUGGCCUAACACUGACGCUGAGGUGCGAAAGCAUGGGGAGCAAACAGG
rnacentral:rRNA from 1 species